AGGUAAAAGGUCAUUAAUUAGGAGAAGAUUUAUCUGAAGGAAAUGUAUGAUCUGUGGGUAGUGUGGUCAAAGAUGACUUCUGCAGAUACAAACAUCAUCUUGUAUGCGAGGGCAUGGUGAAAACCUCUGCUAUCAUAUUGGAUACAAGAUCUUUAACUUCUCAGCACCAGUUUUAUGGAGCCCCCACCGCUAAGCAAGUAUGCAAAAUGCAGUGCUGCUUCGCAUUGGGAAAUCCCCAAUCUGGUGCCAAGAGGUUCAUAAAUACAGUAAUGGACCCUCUUAUGUCAAAAGUGAGUACUGUUUAACAGCGUAAGUUGGAACAGCCUUCAGGAUGCUUUGCAGCUGCAGUUGUUCCACUGCAAGACAUCACAAACUUCAUGAUGAUGGUUGUCACACCAGGUCCUGGAAAGGCAACCUACUUCAGUCUGCAAAGUGAACUAAAAGGGAAUGGUUGUUCAUACAUGGCCCUGAUGCCACCGACAUAAGAAACGCAAUGACAGGAGCGAUGAAGUAGGAAUUUGGUGGCAGAUGGUCAGGUCUGCAGGAAGUGUCCACCCAGCUUUGUUUGGCCCAUAUUCUGAAACAACUAGAAUAAACACUUAGUGUCAUAAUUUAUAAGCAUA